rnacentral:rRNA from 1 species
GAUGAACGCUGGCGGCGUGCUUAACACAUGCAAGUCGAACGGAAAGGCCCUGCUUGCAGGGUACUCGAGUGGCGAACGGGCGAGUAACUAGUGGGUGAUUUGCCCUGCACUUCGGCAUAAGCCUGGGAAACUGGGCCUAAUACCGGAUAGGAGACAUUUUUAGCGUGAUGGUUGGAAAGUUUUGUCGGUUUUGGAUGAGCUGGCGGCGUAUCGGCUUGUUGGUGGGGUAAUGGCCUACCAAGGCGGCGACGGGUAGCAGGCCUGAGUGGGUGGACGGCCACAUUGGGACUGAGGGACGGCCGAGACAGCGACGGGAGGCAGAAGUGGGGAAGAUUGCACAAGGGGCGCAAGCCGGAUGCAGCGACGCCGCGGGGGGGAUGACUGUCUUCGGGUUGAAAACUCCUUGCGCUAGGGACGAAGCUUUUUGUGACGGUACCUAGAUAAGAAGCACCGGCUAACUACGUG